UGAGAGUCUGAGUUUUAGCAGCCAAG
rnacentral:piRNA from 1 species